rnacentral:lncRNA from 1 species
AUUUAAGGUUAUAUAUUUCCCUCUUGUAUAAAUCUUAAGGCUAUAUAUUUUAUACUUCUGCAACAUCCUAUAGGUUGUGAUCUGUACCAAAUCUAUUAUUAUUCAGUUUUGAGCAUUUAAAAACUCCUGUUGCAACUUUGUUAAUGUUUAACUUCAAAACCACAUUUAAAGUUUUGAUUUUGACUUCUGACUCCAUCACUCUAUAGUAAGAGAACAUAGUCCAUAUGAUGCCUAAGUGUUUGAAAUUUGCCUGAUCCACAGCCAAUUUUCCCUAAAUGUUCCAUGUGUGUUUAAGAAUAAUGUAUAGUGGGGCUGGGGAUGUGGCUCAAGUGGUAGCGCGCUCGCCUGGCAUGCGUGCAGCCUGGGUUCGAUCCUCAGCACCACAUACAAACAAAGAUGUUGUGUCCGCCGAAAACUAAAAAAUAAAUAUUAAAAUUCUCUCUCUCUCUCUCUUUAAAAAAAAGAAUAAUGAAUAGUGCCUACAUGAACAUUAGGCCAGGCUUCAUAAUUGCAUUGUUCAAAAUUUCUGCAGCUUUUCUGCUUUAUCUCGUUUAUGUACGCGUAAUUAAGGGAGGAAUUUCUUGGUUUAGAAAUUAUAUGCUCUAUGCUUUUUAGUAGUUACUCUUAAAUUUUUGCCAUGCCUAACCAAAAAAAUCUCAAGUUAUUCCCAAUUUCCUCCCUGAACAAUACAAGUUAAUUUGAACACUCAUAAAAAUACCGAAUUGGAUUUCAUAUGUGUAUAUGUGUGUACCUGUGUUUAUGAUCCAGAAUUUCAGUUCUCUUCCUUUUGAGCCCAUGAUUUGAUGCUAUUUUUAUUAUUUUUGACAACUGGUGUUUGUUUAGCUUUACCUCCCCAUUUCUCAAUUUCUUUGCUCACUAUUCCUGCUUGCAUCCCAGACCUUUAUCCUGAGGUCAGCCUUCUCUUUCUGAUAUACUUUAAGUAAAAGCCUAAAUGCAAUGAAUACUCUCAAAUUUUAUUUAUCUGAGAAUAUCUUUCUUGAAAGAUAAUUUUGCUGAGUACACAGUUCUAGGUCUGCAGGUAUUUGUUUUCUGUCCAAUCUGGAGACAUCAUUUCUUUGUCUUAAGCCUCCUAUUGUUGAGAAGUCUGAGGUUUAGGGAGGCAUUCUCUCAUUGCUUUCUG